GACGAACGCUGGCGGCGUGCUUAACACAUGCAAGUCGAACGGAAAGGCCUUUUCGGAGGUACUCGAGUGGCGAACGGGUGCGUAACACGUGGGUGAUCUGCCCUGCACUCUGGGAUAAGCCUGGGAAACUGGGUCUAAUACCGGAUAGGACCGCACUUUAGUGUGUGUGGUGGAAAGUUUUUUCGGUGUAGGAUGAGCCCGCGGCCUAUCAGCUUGUUGGUGGGGUAAUGGCCUACCAAGGCGGCGACGGGUAGCCGGACUGAGAGGUUGGUCGGCCACAUUGGGACUGAGAUACGGCCCAGACUCCUACGGGAGGCAGCAGUGGGGAAUAUUGCACAAUGGGCGCAAGCCUGAUGCAGCGACGCCGCGUGGGGGAUGACGGCCUUCGGGUUGUAAACUCCGUUCGCCAGGGACGAAGCGUUUUGUGACGGUACCUGGAGAAGAAGCACCGGCUAACUACGUG
rnacentral:rRNA from 1 species